rfam:Peptoniphilus sp. ING2-D1G genome assembly, chromosome: I
GGUCAAGAAAAAAAGAGCAUUAGGCGAAUGCCUAGGCACCAAGAGGCGAAGAAGGACGCGGUAAGCUGCGAAAAGCUGUGGGUAGAAGCAAACAAUCGACAAACCACAGAUCUCCCAAUGGGGCAACCCACCAUAAAAAUGGUAUCUUUAAGCCAAUCCAUAACUUAAAGAAGCGAACCGGGCGAACUGAAACAUCUAAGUAGCCCGAGGAAAAGAAAGAAAACUCGAUAUCCCAAGUAGCGGCGAGCGAAAAGGAAAAAGCCCAACCGUGCAAAAAAGCAAAAGCAAGUCAGUCGAAUCAUCUGGGAAGAUGAUCCAAAGAAGGUAACAGACCCGUAGACGAAAACAAGCAAAGCAAGCACAAAAGAGUAUCACAGGACACGAGAAAUCCGGUGAGAACACAGGGGGACCACCCCCUAAGGCUAAACACUCCUUGGUGACCAAUAGCGAACAAGUACCGUGAGGGAAAGGUGAAAAGAACCCCGAGAGGGGAGUGAAACAGAACCUGAAACCUAAUGUUUACAAGCAGCGAAACCGGUAAAGGAACCGGGAUCGUGUACUUUUUGUAGAACGGGCCAGCGAGUUAUGUCAAUAAGCAAGAUUAAAAUGUAAAGCAUUGAAGUCGCAGAGAAAUCGAGUCUAAAUAGGGCGAAAGUUAAUUGACAUAGACCCGAAACCGUGUGAUCUAUCCAUGGGCAGAGUGAAGUUGAAGUAAAAUUCAAUGGAGGCUCGAACCGGGUAGCGUUUAAAAGCUAUCGGAUGACCUGUGGAUAGGGGUGAAAAGCCAAACGAACACGGAGAUAGCUGGUUCUCCUCGAAAUAGCUUUAGGGCUAGCCUUUAGCGAACAAUGAUAAGGGGGUAGAGCACUGAAUAGUAGCGGGGGCAAUACGCUUACCAAUACCUAUCAAACUCCAAAUACCAAAUCAAGCGCUAAGGAGUCAGACAAUGAGGGAUGAGCUUCAUAGUCAAAAGGGAAACAGCCCAGACCACCAGCUAAGGUCCCAAAAUAAUAGUUAAGUGGGAAAGGAAGUAUAAUUACUCAGACAACCAGGAUGUUGGCUUAGAAGCAGCCACACAUUCAAAGAGUGCGUAAUAGCUCACUGGUCAAGUGAUUGUGCGCCGAAGAUAACCGGGGCUAAACUAAAUACCGAAGCUGUGGAUCAGAAAUGAUGGUAGAGGAGCAAUGUGUGCAAGACGAAGCAGAAGUCGCAAGGCCCUGUAGAUAGCACACAAGAGAGAAUGCUGGCAUAAGUAGCGAGAGGUGAGUGAGAAUCUCACCCGUCGAAAACCUAAGGAUUCCUGAGCAAGGCUCGUCCACUCAGGGUAAGUCGGGACCUAAGGCGAGGCCGAAAGGCGUAGUCGAUGGACAACAGGUGGAAAAUCCUGUACCGAGUUUAAGCGCAACAAAGUACGUGGUGACGCAGGAGGAUAACAUGAGCGCCCAGUUGGUGAGGCGUACAAAUACAAAGGUGGGCCUAGGAGGCAAACCCCCUAAGCCGCAAACACUAAAGUAUGAUGUCGAUCGAAAACAAGUAGAGAAGCAUGCAACUCCACACUGCCAAGAAAACCCACUAUCAAGCAAGAACUCGCCCGUACCGCAAACCGACACAGGUAGGAAAGGAGAAAAUCCUAAGACGAGCGGAAGAACCUUUGUUAAGGAACUCGGCAAAAUGACCCCGUAAGUUAGCAAGAAGGGGAGCCAUGAAAAUGGCCGCAGUAAAAAGGCCCAAGCGACUGUUUACCAAAAACACAAGUUUCUGCAAAGUCGAAAGACGAAGUAUAGGAGCUGACACCUGCCCGGUGCUGGAAGGUUAAGGGAAAAAGUCAGUUGAAAAACGAAGCUUAGAACCGAAGCCCCAGUAAACGGCGGCCGUAACUAUAACGGUCCUAAGGUAGCGAAAUUCCUUGUCGGGUAAGUUCCGACCCGCACGAAAGGUGUAACGAUUUGGGCACUGUCUCAACAAAGGAUCCGGUGAAAUUGAAGUAGCGGUAAAGAUGCCGCUUACCCACGACAGGACGGAAAGACCCCGUGGAGCUUUACUGUAGGUUGACAUUGGAUUUUGAGUUUAAAUGUACAGGAUAGGUGGGAGACAAAGAAACAAGUACGCCAGUAUUUGCGGAGUCGGCCUUGGGAUACCACUCUUUUAAACUUAGAAUUCUAACCGACCCCCUUGAAACAGGGGGAGGGACACUGUCAGUCGGGCAGUUUGACUGGGGCGGUCGCCUCCGAAAAAGUAACGGAGGCGUUCAAAGGUUCCCUCAGCACGGACGGAAAUCGUGCAAAGAGUACAAAGGCAAAAGGGAGCUUAACUGCAAGAGCCACAACUCAAGCAGAUAGGAAACUAGGACUUAGUGAUCCGGUGGUACCGAGUGGAAGGGCCAUCGCUCAACGGAUAAAAGCUACCCCGGGGAUAACAGGCUUAUCUCCCCCAAGAGUCCACAUCGACGGGGAGGUUUGGCACCUCGAUGUCGGCUCGUCUCAUCCUGGGGCUGAAGUAGGUCCCAAGGGUUGGGCUGUUCGCCCAUUAAAGAGGCACGCGAGCUGGGUUCAGAACGUCGUGAGACAGUUCGGUCCCUAUCCGUCGUGGGCGCAGGAAAUUUGAGAGGAGCUAUCCUUAGUACGAGAGGACCGGGAUGGACAAACCUCUGGUGCAUCAGUUGUCAUGCCAAUGGCACAGCUGAGUAGCUAAGUUUGGAAUAGAUAAGAGCUGAAGGCAUCUAAGCACGAAGCUGCCCUCGAGAUGAGAUUUCCCCAAAAAGAUAAGACCCCUUGAAGAAAACGAGGUAGAUAGGCUCAAAGUGUAAGCAUAGCAAUAUGCUGAGCCAAAGAGUACUAAUAGGUCGAAGACUUGACCAA